UGGGGAAUCUUGCACAAUGGGGGCAACCCUGAUGCAGCGACGCCGCGUGAGCGAUGAAGCCCUUCGGGGCGUAAAGCUCUUUCGACCGGAACGAUAAUGACGGUACCGGGAGAAGAAGCUGCGGCUAACUACGUGCCAGCAGCCGCGGUAAUACGUAGGCAGCAAGCGUUGUUCGGAGUUACCGGGCGUAAAGAGUGCGUAGGCGGUUUUCUAAGUUCGGUGUGAAGUCUCCCGGCUUAACUGGGAGGGUGCGCCGAAGACUGGGAAGCUGGAGUGUGGGAAAGGCAGGCGGAAUUCCUGGUGUAGCGGUGAAAUGCGUAGAUAUCAGGAGGAACACCGGCGGUGUAGACGGCUUGCUAAACCAUAACUGACGCUGAGGCACGAAAGCGUGGGUAGCAAACA
rnacentral:rRNA from 1 species